AUGCGAUACGUAAUGUGAAUUGCAGAUUUCAGUGAAUCAUCGAAUCUUUGAACGCACAUUGCGCCCGCCAGUAUUCUGGCGGGCAUGCCUGUUCGAGCGUCAUUUCAACCAUCAAGCUUCGCUUGUGUUGGGGCCCCGCGGCUGCCGCGGUCCCCUAAAUCCAGUGGCGGGCUCGUCGUCGUACCGAGCGCAGUAAACAUCCUCGCUCCGGGAACCCGACGGGUGCCGGCCGUGAAACCCCCCACAUCAAGGUUGACCUCGGAUCAGGUAGGAAUACCCGCUGAACUUAA
rnacentral:misc_RNA from 1 species